rnacentral:rRNA from 1 species
CGCGUAGGCGGUCUGUUAAGUCAGAUGUGAAAUCCCGGGGCUCAACCCCGGAAGUGCAUUUGAUACUGGCAGACUUGAGUAUGGGAGAGGGAAGUGGAAUUCCUGGUGUAGAGGUGAAAUUCGUAGAUAUCAGGAGGAACACCGGUGGCGAAGGCGACUUCCUGGACCAAUACUGACGCUGAGGCGCGAAGGCGUGGGGAGCAAACA